UUUUUGGAACUUCUCUGGAGAGUACUUUGUAUUUUUAAAGAGAAGGAACUAUAAAAAGAGAAUUGGGAGAUGUAUUCCUCCACCUUUUGCAGAUUUAAUACCAAUGAAGACACCUUAAAAGCUUAGGGUUGAUUUGUUGAGCACUCUGGUUACUAAAUAAACAGGAAAAUAAAAGCAAAAUGGAAGCAACCCAAUGCAGCUCCUUCUCUCUACCUAGAUGGAGAGGCAAUCAUGCAUUCCAAGACCCUCCCAAGUUGUUGUUGUUUUUAAGAACUGUACAAAAGAUCCUUAGCUUGCAAAUAAUUAAGUAACAAAACAGUUACGGAUCAGACUAAUUCCUAGUGAACCCUGUUUGCAGACUUUCCCAGUCUGGCGUUCAAGAUUUGGUGUUUGAUGGUACCGAUAUAAGUAUCAAGGACGUGUUUCAUGAAUGUCUGUGAUACUACUAGGGAAACAAGGAAUCCUGAGUUAAUAUCUUAGAAGGGCACUAACGGGGGGCUGGAGGACCCUUUCCUGACACACAGCCCCCUUCACCCUCCAGACCGCUUUAGCAUUUGUGGGAUAACACGACCCGUGUCCAUAUCACUCAGGGCAGGGAAGAUUUCGAACCGUGAUUAAAUCAUUUCGACAACCGGCGUUCUAGAGGCACAGGCCCCGUCCCCCUGAAAAUGCAGAUUCGGUGCAAUUCGCCCCUCUUGGCUGCCGAGGGUUUACGUUUCAUGUUCUCCCCGUGAAUCAGACCCGCUCUCCACACGAGCAGCGCCAGGGAAGAUCGAAAUGGUCCUCCACUGAGCCGCUCGCAUUUCCUUUUGGGUCCUGAUUUAGCUCCACACUGCGAGCUUUA